rnacentral:rRNA from 1 species
CGUCAAGUCAGCAUGGCCUUUAUGCCCAGGGCGACACACACGCUACAAUGGCCGGUACAAUGGGCAGCAAGAGCGCGAGCUGGAGCGAAUCCUGAAAGCCGGUCGUAGUUCGGAUUGCAGGCUGCAACUCGCCUGCAUGAAGUCGGAGUUGCUAGUAACCGCGCAUCAGCCAUGGUGCGGUGAAUACGUUCCCGGGCCUU